GACGAACGCUGGCGGCGUGCUUAACACAUGCAAGUCGAACGGAAAGGCCCCUUUGGGGGUACUCGAGUGGCGAACGGGUGAGUAACACGUGAGUAACCUGCCCUUGACUUCGGGAUAACUUCAGGAAACUGGGGCUAAUACCGGAUAGGAAUCCUUGCUGCAUGGUGGGGGUUGGAAAGCUUCGGCGGUUUUGGAUGGACUCGCGGCUUAUCAGCUUGUUGGUGGGGUAGUAGCUUACCAAGGCUUUGACGGGUAGCCGGCCUGAGAGGGCGACCGGCCACAUUGGGACUGAGAUACGGCCCAGACUCCUACGGGAGGCAGCAGUGGGGAAUAUUGCACAAUGGGCGGAAGCCUGAUGCAGCAACGCCGCGUGCGGGAUGACGGCCUUCGGGUUGUAAACCGCUUUCAGCAGGGGCGAAGCUUGUGGUGACGGUACCUGCAGAAGAAGCACCGGCUAACUACGUGC
rnacentral:rRNA from 1 species